GACGAACGCUGGCGGCGUGCUUAACACAUGCAAGUCGAACGGAAAGGCCCUGCUUGCAGGGUGCUCGAGAGGCGAACGGGUGAGUAACACGUGGGUGAUCUGCCCCUUACUUUGGGAUAAGCCUGGGAAACUGGGUCUAAUACUGGAUAGGACCAUGCUGUAGGCGGUGUGGUGGAAAGAUUAGUUUCGGUAAGGGAUGAGCUCGCGGCCUAUCAGCUUGUUGGUGGGGUAAUGGCCUACCAAGGCGUCGACGGGUAGCCGGCCUGAGAGGGUGGACGGCCACAUUUGGACUGAGAUACGGCGCAGACUCCUACGGGAGGCAGCAGUGGGGAAUAUUGCACAAUGAGCGCAAGCCUGAUGCAGCGACGCCGCGUGGGGGAUGACGGCAUUCGGGUUGUAAACUCCUUUCAGCCAUGACGAAGCCCUGGUAGUGACGGUAGUGGUAGAAGAAGCACCGGCUAACUACGUG
rnacentral:rRNA from 1 species